rnacentral:rRNA from 1 species
GACGGAGGGGGCAAGCGUUGUCCGGACUCACUGGGCGUAAAGGGUGCGCAGGCGGUGCGGAGCGUCGCCACUGAAAGCGCCCGGCUUAACCGGGCGAGGCGUGGCGAUACGACCGUGCUCGAGGCUCUGAGAGGGUGGCGGAACUCCUGGUGUAGUGGCGAAAUGCGUAGAGAUCAGGAAGAACACCCGUGGCGCAAGCGGCCACCUGGCAGAGACCUGACGCUGAGGAAAGAGAGCGUGGGGAGCGAACCGG